GGUAAUACCGAAUACAAUUAUUUAACUAAUGGUAAGAUAAUGAAAGAUGCUACGGCAUCGCCAUAAGAUGGGCCCGCGUCCCAUUAGCUAGUUGGCAGUGUAAAGGACUACCAAGGCGAAGAUGGGUAGCCGGCCUGAGAGGGUGAACGGCCACACUGGGACUGAGAUACGGCCCAGACUCCUACGGGAGGCAGCAGCUAAGAAUAUUCCGCAAUGGACGAAGGUCUGACGGAGCGACGCCGCGUGGAUGAGGAAGGCCGAAAGGUUGUAAAAUCCUUUUGCAGACGAAGAAUAAGGCUGGUAGGGAAUGACCAGUUGAUGACGUUAGUCUGCGAAUAAGCCCCGGCUAAUUACGUGCCAGCAGCCGCGGUAACACGUAAGGGGCGAGCGUUGUUCGGAAUUAUUGGGCGUAAAGGGCGCGUAGGCGGCUAUGUAAGUCUGAUGUGAAAGGCAGGAGCUUAACUCCUGGACUGCAUUGGAAACUGCAUGGCUUGAGUCACGGAGAGGGAAUCGGAAUUCCUAGUGUAGGGGUGAAAUCUGUAGAUAU
rnacentral:rRNA from 1 species